AUGUGGCGUCUCCGUCAAUAACAAAAACCUGAACAGAAGAAUGACUCAAACACUACACGAGAGACACAGUGAAGAAGAAGAAGAAAAAGAUAUGAGGGGUCUAACAACACCUUUACAAUCAAAGCAUUGGCACCCAACAGCCCAAAACAACCUCAAAAAAUCAGAAAGCAACAAUCUUUACAAUUACCCUUUUCAGUGUAAUGUCAACAAUAACAACAACCCCUUAUCAAGAAAAGUAAAACCCAUAUCUUGUUUUGCUUCAGAAAACCCAAAUCAACCAAUCUUGAAAGAAUCAAAGCCACCCCUAGUAGUAGUUGGAUCAGCCAAUGCAGACAUAUAUGUGGAAAUUGAAAGAUUACCAAAAGAAGGGGAAACAAUCUCAGCCAAAACUGGUCAAACAUUGGCAGGUGGAAAAGGUGCAAAUCAAGCUGUUUGUGGUGGGAAGCUUUCAUACCCAACUUUCUUUAUUGGUCAAGUUGGUGAAGAUGCACAUGGGAAGUUGAUUACUGAAGCAUUAGAGAAUGGUGGGGUGUAUUUGGAUUACCUCACUACUGUUUCUAAUGCUCCUACUGGACAUGCUGUUGUGAUGCUUCAGUCCGAUGGCCAGAAUUCAAUUAUUAUUGUUGGUGGUGCCAACAUGUCUUGUUGGCCCGAAAAUUUAUCUGAUGAGGAUUUGGAGAUUGUGAGGAAUGCAGGGAUUGUAUUGCUCCAAAGGGAAAUCCCAGAUUUUGUUAAUAUUCAAGUUGCAAAGGCUGCCAGGAAUGCACAUGUUCCAGUUAUUCUAGAUGCUGGUGGCGUGGAUUCUCCAAUCCCUCUAGAGCUUCUUCGUUUUGUUGACAUUUUGAGCCCAAAUGAAACCGAGCUGGCUCGCAUAACAAAAAUGCCAACAGAAAGUUUCGACCAAAUCAGCAAGGCAGUGGAGAAGUGCUAUGAAAUGGGAGUUAACGAAGUUCUUGUUAAGCUUGGUUCCAAUGGAUCUGCUCUUUUCACCAAAGGAGAGGAACCCUUGCGGCAGCCCAUUAUAAAAGCUGCAAAAGUCGUUGAUACAACUGGAGCUGGUGACACUUUUACAUCUGCUUUUGCAGUGGCCUUGGUUGAGGGGAAAUCCAAAAAGGAAUGUUUGAGAUUUGCGGCUGCAGCAGCUUCUCUAUGUGUUCAAGUGAAGGGAGCAAUCCCAAGCAUGCCUGAGAAGAAAGCAGUUUUCAGUCUUCUCCAGUCAGUUUGAAGACCUAGAGUUUCCUUUAUUGAUGCCCUUGUACAUAAAAAUAAGAGUUUCUCAGGUUAAUGAGUUGAAGUUCCGGACUUUUUAUUUUCAUGAAGAGGACUGCUAUGGAUCACUGGUUAACUUUGGGAAGGAGCACUAAUCUGCAUAUUUUGCUGCUGAUGCCUAAUCUGAUACUGCUUUGAAAUGCUUAUUCUACCUUUUGUAAAAAACAAAAGAAAAGAAAACUAUCCUUUUCCAUGAGUAACUUCAGGUAGCCGGUUAGCAUAGCUGUGUCCUCUGUGCCAGGGAACUAACCAAGCAAAGGGCAUAGUGUUUAUUACUUGAGAGUUUUCAUUACUGAUUGACAAAUUUGAGUGACGUUUGACUGCUGUUGAGGGUUUAAAUGAGCUUCAUCUUGUUCCCGACUGAUUUUGCUAAUAUUCUUGUGCUUUCGUUUAA